UUUCCCGUUUAUCCUGCGGGAGGUUGCUGCUAUCAGAAUCCGGCUAAGACAUGCAAGUCUAGGGGCCUUCGGGUCACUGGCAGACUGCUCAGCAACACGUCGAUAAUCUGCCCUUAGGUCAGGGAUAACCUUGGGAAACUGAGGCUAAACCCUGGCAGGGAAUGGAAACUGGAAUGUUCUAUUCCUGAAAACUUCGGUGCCUAAGGAUGAGUCGGCGGCCCAUCAGGUAGUUGGCGGUGUAACGGACCACCAAGCCUAAGACGGGUAGGGGCCAUGAGAGUGGU
rnacentral:rRNA from 1 species